UCUGGUGACCUUAGCGCAGUGGACCCACCCGUUCCCAUUCCGAACACGGAAGUGAAACGCUGCAGCCCCGAUGGUAGUGCGACGAAAGGUCGAGAACGGAGCGAGCUGGGAAGCCGCGACAU
rnacentral:rRNA from 1 species